rnacentral:rRNA from 1 species
CAUGCAAGUCGAACGAUGAAGCCCUUCGGGGUGGAUUAGUGGCGAACGGGUGAGUAACACGUGGGCAAUCUGCCCUUCACUCUGGGACAAGCCCUGGAAACGGGGUCUAAUACCGGAUAACACUCCUGCCUGCAUGGGUGGGGGUUAAAAGCUCCGGCGGUGAAGGAUGAGCCCGCGGCCUAUCAGCUUGUUGGUGAGGUAGUGGCUCACCAAGGCGACGACGGGUAGCCGGCCUGAGAGGGCGACCGGCCACACUGGGACUGAGACACGGCCCAGACUCCUACGGGAGGCAGCAGUGGGGAAUAUUGCACAAUGGGCGAAAGCCUGAUGCAGCGACGCCGCGUGAGGGAUGACGGCCUUCGGGUUGUAAACCUCUUUCAGCAGGGAAGAAGCGAAAGUGACGGUACCUGCAGAAGAAGCGCCGGCUAACUACGUGCCAGCAGCCGCGGUAAUACGUAGGGCGCAAGCGUUGUCCGGAAUUAUUGGGCGUAAAGAGCUCGUAGGCGGCUUGUCACGUCGGUUGUGAAAGCCCGGGGCUUAACCCCGGGUCUGCAGUCGAUACGGGCAGGCUAGAGUGUGGUAGGGGAGAUCGGAAUUCCUGGUGUAGCGGUGAAAUGCGCAGAUAUCAGGAGGAACACCGGUGGCGAAGGCGGAUCUCUGGGCCAUUACUGACGCUGAGGAGCGAAAGCGUGGGGAGCGAACAGGAUUAGAUACCCUGGUAGUCCACGCCG